rnacentral:rRNA from 2 species
GAAAGCCUUCGGCUCAACCGAAGAAGUGCAUCGGAAACUGGGAAACUUGAGUGCAGAAGAGGACAGUGGAACUCCAUGUGUAGCGGUGAAAUGCGUAGAUAUAUGGAAGAACACCAGUGGCGAAGGCGGCUGUCUGGUCUGUAACUGACGCUGAGGCUCGAAAGUAUGGGUAGCAAACAGGAUUAGAUACCCUGGUAGUCCAUACCGUAAACGAUGAAUGCUAAGUGUUGGAGGGUUUCCGCCCUUCAGUGCUGCAGCUAACGCAUUAAGCAUUCCGCCUGGGGAGUACGGCCGCAAGGCUGAAACUCAAAGGAAUUGACGGGGGCCCGCACAAGCGGUGGAGCAUGUGGUUUAAUUCGAAGCUACGCGAAGAACCUUACCAGGUCUUGACAUACUAUGCAAAUCUAAGAGAUUAGACGUUCCCUUCGGGGACAUGGAUACAGGUGGUGCAUGGUUGUCGUCAGCUCGUGUCGUGAGAUGUUGGGGUUAAGUCCCGCAACGAGCGCAACCCUUUAUUAUCAG